ACACAGUCACAGUGUUGAGCCCGACUGCAAGUAAAGCAAAAGCAUCCACAGGAAACUGAAGAAGGAAGUUUUCUCGAACGAAAAUCGAAUUUUCUCCAGCGUUGGAAAUCAGAAGGGAUUUGGAAAUCAGCUGCUGUUUAAGAAAAAACAACUCAAAGAAUAACCGUGACGAAGUGUUUAAUUUGUGCAAUCGUCAAAGCUAGUGAUUUCAUUUGAGAGACAUCAAAAAAAAUUCCCCAUCAUGUGUGGAGGCUUUCAUUGCUCCAAAAAUGCAUUAAUUGCAUUGAACAUCCUUUAUGUCAUGGUUGGCUUCCUGCUCAUCGGCGUCGGAGUCUAUGGCCGGGCUUCGUCCAUCGUGACCAAUCUGCCCAUUAUCGGCGGAAUACUAGCCUGCGGAGUAAUUCUGAUCCUGAUCUCGAUUCUCGGCCUCGUUGGAGCUGUCAAGCAUCACCAGGUGAUGCUGUUCUUUUACAUGAUCAUUCUGUUCAUGCUGUUCCUGAUUCAGUUUUCGAUUGCCUGCUCCUGUUUGGCGGUCAACCAGAGCCAGCAGCGUCAGUUCGCCGAGCAGGGCUGGUCCCUGGCGCCGAUCGAAAUCAAGCAGCAGGUGCAGGAGGAGUUCCUGUGCUGUGGAUUCAACUCAACCGUAACCGACGAUCAUCUCUCCUGUACGGCGGUUGAAGCCAUAUGCUGCCCGGGAGGUCUGAGUGGUUGCUCCUGCCCGCCAUGUAUGCCCAAGCUAGAGAGCACCAUCGACUACGCAUUCCGUUUGUCGGGUGGAAUCGGACUGUUCUUCAGCUUCACAGAGUUUAUCGGUGUCUGGCUGACCGUGCGCUACCGCAACCAGAAAGAUCCCCGGGGUAACCCGAGUGCUUUCCUAUAAGAUUGGGACGAUCCUGUGACGGAGCUCUAAGGAAUUUGUCUGUUUUGGUUCAUUUAGUUUGACUUUUUUUGAGUUUUGUAUUGCUUGAGAGAAGGGGAGGGGAAAGCGCACCACUAGAUCGAUUGUUUUCGAUUCUUCUUCGAAUGGCGACCACGACAACAACGGCUAUUUUGCUGAUCAUUGCCGUAUUCCUGACCCGUCGCUAUCGCAACCAGCAGGAUCCGGACCACCUGCCGGCUAGGGCCAUUUUUCCGCAAAGCAACUACGUGUACUAGUCAACUUGGUAGGUAAAUGGAAAACGGUGAUCCUAUAGAGAAACAAAUAGAACAGAGCUGAUAGCUAGGAAAGGUUGGAAUUGCCUAGGAAGUGAUGAACUCGCAAAAAUGGUGAUGCGACUCGCUAGAAUCCAAAAAAAAUAUAUCGAAUUUUUUCCCGUGACCACACUGUCGAACUGGAAUAAAGAGAAUACUCAUUUAUGUGGCUCCUAGCUAGGAUUAACACACAUUACAGGAAGAGGAAUCGGAUCACAAAAGACAACGGUUGUGCUAAUUUUAAUUAGUUCAUUUUUUCCGCUUUAGUUUUUUUUAACUUUAGACUGACAGGGAAGAGGCGGAUGUUAAACUUCAAAUACGAGUGAAUGAGUGUGUUUUAAGUUACGAUGAACUUUCCAAGUCGAAACAACUUGUCAUCAUUAUGAUCUUAAGUAGGAUUAAAUGAUUCCGUUUUUUUUUCAUUUUUCUUAUAACGGUCUCCAAUUGUUGAA